UACGGAGGGUGCGAGCGUUGUCCGGAUUUAUUGGGUUUAAAGGGUGCGUAGGCGGCCUCUUAAGUCCGGGGUGAAAGCCCGUUGCUCAACAGCGGAACUGCCCUGGAUACUGGCAGGCUUGAGUCCAGACGAGGGUGGCGGAAUGGCCGGAGUAGCGGUGAAAUGCAUAGAUACCGUCCAGAACCCCGAUUGCGCAGGCGGCUGCCUAGACUGGAACUGACGCUGAGGCACGAAAGCGUGGGGAGCGAACAGG
rnacentral:rRNA from 1 species